rnacentral:sRNA from 1 species
AUAUUUAUCACCAUUAACCCCAAAAGAUUAAUUGAAAAGGAUAGAUUUGUAACAAUAAACUAGAUAUCCUCUCAAUAUGUACAACUUAAACUUAGGUCUCACUGAGAGUUGUCUUUAUGUCACAUUAGUGUUCCCUCAUAGCUCCAAGUCACGUUGGUUUACUCUAUGCGGCAGACCAACUCCCCUAACCCUUCCUCAAGAUGGUCAAUUCUUUGCUAUAGUCUAUCUAUCCUAACAAAUCGUACUAAGAAGUCGAGUGGCAACGUACUGGUCUGAGUCCUAGCGCAUAACUUUUUUUCUCCACGUCAUUGGAUUUCUGCCACAAUUGGUUCUAAUAUCUACACUUGCAUUUGUCGCAUAUAGAACACAGUAAUCCAUGGUAUCAUUAAAGCUUACAACUUCUUUCAACAGAGUAUAGAGUAAAAACUUCGUUGAAACUAUAAACUAUACUAGAAUUUGACCCGCGGUACACCGCGGGGCUAAUUUUUUAAGAAAAUGUAUAUAUUGAGUGAAAUUCAUAUUGUUGAAUUGUAGAUUAUGUAUUUGGGUUUACGGAUAUUUUUUUUGGUAGGGUGGGUUUACAUUUAUAAUAUCUGUUUUCUUAGUAUAUUAGUUGGUAUUACGAUUAAAAUGUAUAGUGUAUAUAAUAAAAGCAUGAUAAACUAUAUUAUGU